GAUGAACGCUGGCGGCGGGCCUAAUACAUGCAAGUCGAGCGAACAGACGAGGAUCUUGCUCCUCUGACGUUAGCGGCGGACAGGGGAGUAACACGUGGAUAACCUACCUAUAAGACUGGGAUAACUUCGGGAAACCGGAGCUAAUACCGGAUAAUAUAUUGAACCGCAUGGUUCAAUAGUGAAAGACGGUUUUGCUGUCACUUAUAGAUGUAUCCGCGCCGCAUUAGCUAGUUGGUAAGGUAACGGCUUACCAAGGCAACGAUGCGUAGCCGACCUGAGAGGGUGAUAGGCCACACUGGAACUGAGACACGGUCCAGACUCCUACGGGAGGCAGCAGUAGGGAAUCUUACGCAAUGGGCGAAAGCUUGACGGAGCAACGCCGCGUGAGUGAUGAAGGUCUUCGGAUCGUAAAACUCUGUUAUUAGGGAAGAACAAAUGUGUAAGUAACUAUGCACGUCUUGACGGUACCUAAUCAGAAAGCCACGGCUAACUACGUG
rnacentral:rRNA from 1 species